AGAUUCAUCUUUCCUUGGAUGAGUUGACCUGGAAGAGUUCCCAGGGUCCAGACCCAGGAGAACUGAAGUGAAAACUGAGGCUUCCCUGGUCUCAUGGGUCCAGUAGGGUUUUCUGACAGUGCCAAGCCCUUAGGAAAGCACUAAUAUGACUUCUCAGUGUUUGCAUCACGUUGCAGAUUAGAAUUAUCUGAUUAGAUAAAUUCCCCAAGAUAAAGGUCCUGAUAUACUGGCAGGAGACUUGGAUUUUAGAAAACACAUUUCCUCAUAUUUAAAGUUUUAAGCCCUUUUUUCUCCCCAGGUUUGUGGAGGAAAAUACCUUUGGCAAAGUUGGGUGGGCUGGCGCCUGUAUCUGCUCAGCCUCAGGGAGAACUGGCUCCUACAGGAAAAGCCUGCUUCUUCCAGAUCUGAUCUAGAAGUCUCAUUAAUUGUGUGAUCUGUAGUCAAACAUAACAUCCUUCGGCCAGUGUACAUUCUAUCUACAUGGCUGUUUGGUCCCAUUGCAACCCUGCUCCAACUUUGAUUCUCUAAGCCAAGAGGUGGAUGGUUAACUGAGACCUAUCACUAGGCCCAGCUGUGAUCUGGCAGGGCCAUCUAGAGCCAUUGGGCUCCCCCUUAGGUGGUUCAGGGUCACAGUCAGGAACAAGGUUGAUUUUGAGGAUUUGCUACAGUUACUAAGUGAAUUUUAAUUUUAUUGUCAUAACACCAUUCUGACUCAUUUGCCCUCUGAUGUGCUUUCUUGAGCAGGAGGAGGGGGUCAGAGUGUUUCAUUGUAGGAAUUGCCUUUAUUCUUGGACAUCCCCAGAGAGUGCUGGCUCAUGGGGCCAGGGAGAGCAAUAGCACACAUGCCAGGGCUUUGAACCCUCAAAUCCUGCUCCUCUUUUGUUUUAUAAAUAGCACAUCCACCUGAGAUCAUGUACAUUCUGAAUAAAGAAAGAGACUCUUCCACUGUGUUAAAUAGCAUAGAGAUGCAUUUACAACCUGAAGUGUGAGAAGUUCACCACCAGCUGGGGACUGAGACCAAAUGGCUUUUUCGCUGCUGUCAGGCUGCUCUGUUGCAGGACUUGGUGUGCACUGCAGAUCUCACACCUCUGACAAUCUUAACCAGAUGGGAUGAGGGCCGUUUAGUAAGAAUCUGGAAGCUCUCCACUACUCCAAGGAGAGGAAGGAGUGGGAAAACAGCAGCUUUCAUCUUGAAACAGUGCCUGAGAGCUGCAGUGUGUCCCUGAGGCCAGUUCUCCCUUUAGGACUUUGAGACCAAACAGUGGUAAGCCCAGGGAUUACAGAUAAGGGUUCAUUGCAAGUGAGUACUAUAGUUUGGUUGCAUUUUCUAGAAAACAUCUAACUGCAAAAGAGUUCAAUUGGUGAUUUAAAAAUUCACAAAUACAUGACUUUAUCUUCUCACCAGAAAUAUUUUUGCCAUAAGAAUACCAAGUUGAUUCUAUAAAAUGUGGCAAAUAUUAUCUACCUUGUAAGUUCUUUUCUGUUUGUUUUUAUUUGUUUGUUUGUUUUUGGAUUAGAAUUAGUAUAUGUGAAGUGCUUAGUGCAGUCCCUGGCAGGGAGUAGAUAUUCAAAAUAAUAACUACUGUGGAAAGCAUAUAAUUUAUCUAGUAUGUACCCCUCUCCUACAUUGUAAACAUCCUAUGGAGCAGUUGGUUA
rnacentral:lncRNA from 1 species